rnacentral:rRNA from 1 species
GACGAACGCUGGCGGCGUGCUUAACACAUGCAAGUCGAACGGAAAGACCCUGCUUUUGCGGCGUUCUCGUGUGGCGCACGCGUGUGUAACACGCGUGUAACCCGCCCUUGUCUUUGUGAUAACUUCAGGAGACUGCGGCUAAUACCCGAUAGGAGCUCCUGCUGCAUGGUGGGCGUUGGAAAGAUUCGGCGGUUGGGGAUGGACUCGCGGCUUAUCCGCCUGUUGGUGGGGUAGUGGAAGACAAAGGGUUUGACGGGUAGCCGGCAUGAGAGGGUGACCGGCGUCAUUGGGACUGAGAUACGGCCCAGACUCCUACGGGAGGCAGCAGUGGGGAAUAUUGCACAAUGGGCGGAAGCCAGAGGCAGCAACGCCGCGUGCGGGAUGACGGCCUUCGGGGUGUAAACCGCUUUCGCCUGUGACGAAGCGUGAGUGACGGUAAUGGGUAAAGAAGCACCGGCUAACUACGUG